rnacentral:misc_RNA from 1 species
UUAGUUUUAUUCCUAUUUUAUUUAGAUUUCCUAAUAUAAUUAGAUUUAGUUAAAGUUACUAUUUAGUAGAGCUAUUUUCCUCUUUGGUUGAUGAGUCUACAAACUUUGUGAAUACGCCUAAUUCUAUGUAUUUCAAUUUAGAGAAUUCAAUUAACAAAAUUUUCAGCAGAGAAUUUCUCUCAAUAUUUCACUCGUGUGUAUGAGUGUAUUAUCUUGUUAAGCUUCACGCUGCAUCAAGUGGUAUUAGAGUGAGGAAAUCUCUCCAAUCAAGAUGACUAACUUUGAUGGAGGUUAUGAUGACGAUGGUCCUCACGAUGGUGAUAAAGGAGCUAGAGCCUUUUACCAUAGAGACAAAACGUUGUGACGAUGAGAGCAACAUUUGGAGCAACAAGUGGAUAUCAGAUUCGAGCGCAUCAAGAGACACUUCAAAGAAAUUGAAGAUUGUAUUGAUGCUAUGGGAUUAAAAUUGACAAGGAUAGGAAUGAUGAUAGAAGGCCAGGAGAUGGUAUAGCUCAUGGUGACCUUAUUUUUCGAUGGUGAUGAAAAUUUGGAGGAGGAAGACAACUAUGAGCCAAUUUGGUACGAUAUACAUAAACGAUUUGGUGGUGAUAGGAGAAGAGCAUAGUUAUUAAAGGCUUAAG